rnacentral:rRNA from 1 species
AACGAACGCUGGCGGCAGGGCCUAACACAUGCAAGUCGAGCGAGACCUUCGGGUCUAGCGGCGGACGGGUUAGUAACGCGUGGGAACGUGCCCUUCUCUGCGGAAUAGCCACUGGAAACGGUGAGUAAUACCGCAUACGCCCUUCCGGGGGAAAAGAUUUAUCGGAGAAGGAUCGGCCCGCGUUAGAUUAGAUAGUUGGUGGGUAACGGCCUACCAAGUCUACGAUCUAUAGCUGGUUUUAGAGGAUGAUCAGCAACACUGGGACUGAGACACGGCCCAGACUCCUACGGGAGGCAGCAGUGGGGAAUCUUAGACAAUGGGCGCAAGCCUGAUCUAGCCAUGCCGCGUGUGUGAUGAAGGUCUUAGGAUCGUAAAGCACUUUCGCCAGGGAUGAUAAUGACAGUACCUGGUAAAGAAACCCCGGCUAACUCCGUG